rnacentral:rRNA from 1 species
UGCCAGCAGCCGCGGUAAUACGGGGGGUGCAAGUGUUAAUCGGAAUUAUUGGGCGUAAAGGGUAAGUAGGCGGUUUAUUAAAUUAUUUGUCAAAGGUCUUAGCUCAACUAAGGGAAGGCAUUUAAGACUGAUAAACUAGAAUCAGAUAGAGGAUAGUGGAAUUUCUAAAGGAGGAUUAAGCCCUGUAGAUAUUAGAAGGAAGAUCGGCGGCGAAGGCGGCUAUCUGGGUCUGUAUUGACGCUAAAUUACUAAGGCGUAGGGAGCGAAUGGGAUUAGAUA